rnacentral:snRNA from 1 species
AUUCAGCCCUUUGUCGCU